rnacentral:misc_RNA from 1 species
UACGGAGGGUGCAAGCGUUAAUCGGAAUUACUGGGCGUAAAGAGUGCGUAGGUGGUUGACUAAGUUAUCUGUGAAAUCCCUGGGCUUAACCUGGGCAGGUCAGAUGAUACUGGUUGACUCGAGUAUGGGAGAGGGUAGUGGAAUUUCCGGUGUAGCGGUGAAAUGCGUAGAGAUCGGAAGGAACACCAGUGGCGAAGGCGGCUACCUGGCCUAAUACUGACACUGAGGCACGAAAGCGUGGGGAGCAAACAGG